rnacentral:rRNA from 1 species
GAUGAACGCUGGCGGCGUGCCUAAUACAUGCAAGUCGAGCGAAUGGAUUAAGAGCUUGCUCUUAUGAAGUUAGCGGCGGACGGGUGAGUAACACGUGGGUAACCUGCCCAUAAGACUGGGAUAACUCCGGGAAACCGGGGCUAAUACCGGAUAACAUUUUGAACCGCAUGGUUCGAAAUUGAAAGGCGGCUUCGGCUGUCACUUAUGGAUGGACCCGCGUCGCAUUAGCUAGUUGGUGAGGUAACGGCUCACCAAGGCAACGAUGCGUAGCCGACCUGGGAGGGGGAUCGGCCACACUGGGACUGAGAAACGGCCCAGACUCCUACGGGAGGCAGCAGUAGGGAAUCUUCCGCAAUGGACGAAAGUCUGACGGAGCAACGCCGCGUGAGUGAUGAAGGCUUUCGGGUCGUAAAACUCUGUUGUUAGGGAAGAACAAGUGCUAGUUGAAUAAGCUGACACCUUGACGGUACCUAACCAGAAAGCCACGGCUAACUACGUGCCAGCAGCCGCAGUAA